UACGUAGGGGGCUAGCGUUGUCCGGAAUCAUUGGGGGUAAAGAGCGUGUAGGCGGUCCGGUAAGUCCGUUGUGAAAGUCAGGGGCUCAACCCUUGAAUGCCGGCGGAUACUGUCGGGCUAGAGUCCGGAAGAGGCAAGUGGAAUUCCCGGUGUAGCGGUGAAAUGCGCAGAUAUCGGGAGGAACACCUAUGGCGAAGGCAGCUUGCUGGGACGGUACUGACGCUGAGACGCGAAAGCGUGGGGAGCAAACAGG
rnacentral:rRNA from 1 species